CCAGCUCUGAAACCAGAUUGCAUAGCAGAGAAGGUAUGGUUAGAUUCGAAAUAAAUCUAAUACAUACAUUAGAUUUAUGUCAAACCAAACAAAAGGCAUAAUUUGCGGAGCCUGAAUGACGACUGUCUCUGGUCAAAUUGAUUCCCUAGCCUCCUCCUAGCUGGCCCUGCUGGAAUGCAGCACAUAAUUAUUAUUAUCAUGAGCAGCACUGUGGAAUUUCACCAUGUCUCCCUUUUCUAAAUGCUUUCAGCUUUCAAAAAAAUGUGUAACGUGUCCAAGAACUUUGCUUCCAGCAAACAGAGUACGGUAACUCAAUUGGAAAGGAAUCUGCCCGGAACAGGAGUCUGAAUAUAUUUAGGGAGGAUUUCACAUAGGGACUUGGGCCUCACAAUACAAUGAGGAGGCUGUGCAAGAUCAUGAAUAUGAGUAUUGCAUGCCAAACUGUUCAGUUGUAGUUUUAGCACAAGCUAAACCCAAUAUGGAGCAAUUCCCUGUAAAGGACUCAAAAUGUCAAUGUUUCAAUUGUCUGUUCCUAUCAAAUAGGAAUAGCAAUAUAUAACACAUUUUACAGUAAUACAACAUUACUGUGGUUGUUAUAUGGAUUAUCCGGAAUCCUCAAUAAUUUAUCUUAAUUGUUUGUCACGGGCCCUUUGUCCGUCAUUGCUCCUAUCUUCAGUUAAUGUUUUCACGGCUUUAAGGCCUAGGUGUGCUGAAGUCGGCAUAAGCAUACUUGAAAUAUCUGUCCUUCCUCAUCCACUGAAAGAGAUGUUUGAGAUAAGAGUAAAUUAGAUCAAAUGUUUUAAUCUAUCAUGGUGUUCUGUAAUGGGACAGCUGUGGUUAAUGAUGGGACUGAGGGACAACCAACUCCCCGGGGGAGCUGGCUUUGGGCCUAGAGCAGGGGAGAGGGUAGAAGUGGACGGAAAGUUGGAUCCCCCUCAGAAUCACUCCUGUUUCAGUAAGACUUCAACUGCAAUACCAGAGUCCAAACCAUUUAUAGAGCCUUUGCAAUCUCUUACAACAGACACUACAAACAUUUUCCAAUUAGAUAGGAUGAUCCUCAACAAUGGUGAACUGAAUGUGGGUGGUGUGUUGGAAGUUAAGUUGACCAAACACCUACCUCUGUCAGUGGAUGACCAUGGAGAGAGCCUGCCCCCAGGGAAUUUCUAUACCUCAAGGGGCUUCUGGCGGAGGCUGGAGGGAGACGAGUUGUUCUGGGAGAAGGGAAGAAAUACCUCAGCAGAGCCUCAGAGUCAUCUAUCUCCCUCACCUUUGACCAUGUCCAGCUGAACACCUGACUAGAGACAACACAUAUGAGGAUGUCAAGCCGUCUCCCCAUUGUGUGUCCCCGACCCUGGACCAUGGCACAGAGACAGAACCCUCUCACCCCAAAGUUUCCUCCCAAGCCUCUCACGUUGCGGCUGGAGACGAAGGACUCACUGGCAGCAACACAAUCCUCACCUACAGAAGCCCCCCCUAGACCUGCUUUACCCAAGCAACCCACAACCAUCCAUAAAACACACAGACUGCCUCAGUAUGUCAACAAGAUUCAUGUGAUCUUCGACACCAAGAGAGUGAAGAGCGAGGGAGGUUCAGCGCGUGAGGAGACCAGUGGAACUGAAAGUGACCCAGUGGACAACACUAAAGGAGGUUCCAGGCGCUCGGUCUAUGUCCAGUCCACGCUGAAGCGGAGGCCAGUCUACCCAGCAACAGCAGCUCUUUCAGUUCUUUGUGGUGGUGUCACUCCGGAAGAGUUCCCUGGGAAACACCUACACCCCUGAGAUCACGCAACAGUUUCCCAACAAGUUUGAGAAGUCUUCCAGUCACUCCUGUGAAGCCGACGACCGGCUGAAGGCCAUUCCCAUGUUCUGCUUCCCAGACUCUCAGGACUGGCGGCCUUCUGGACAACUGCACAGGAGGUAGAGAGGCGCAGGGAGAUCUGUCCAGCCCUGGUGUCCCCCUUCAUGCGUAGCGUCAUGGAGGCUCCUUUUCCCGCCUCUGGACGCACCAUCUCACUCAGGAGCUUCCUCCCAGGCUCAGGAAAUGAGGUGCUGAUGCUGUGCCGGCCGGUAGACUCAAGGCUGGAGCAUGUGGACUUUGAGAGCCUGCUGUAGUGCCUGAGCGUUGGGAGACUCCUACAGUGUGCUGACUCGUUGUGGCCUUGCCGCGCUGGUGCUGUUCUACCAAUUCACCUGGCAGCAUACAUUUGUGCCUGUGCUGCCCUCUUGCAUGCUAGACAUCAGCUGCUCUCCCACUCCCUUCCUCAUGGGGGUGCUGGCGCCCUGCCUGCCCAAACUUCUGGAGCUGCCCAUAGAAGAGUAAGUUUCAGGCUGCACUGCUGGAGAUCCUGGAGAAGAGAGAGCAGAUACUGAGGCAAGAUGAAGGAGAUUGCACAGGAGGGAUGAAAUUCCUACCGAAGAAGUGACAAUGUCAGCUGUCUGGUUGAAAAUGCUUCUGUAGGAGAAGAUGAGGAUCUUCCGCGGGAUUGGCCAAGACGUGUGAAAAUGAUGUCACAGAUAUAGAUAUGUACUUGAAUCGAUCAGAACAUAAUGGUGUUUGGCACAUAGGCCCACAGUCUUAGAUAUAGGGCUCGGGUUGAGACAGGACCAUACUCUUCGUAUUGCCCUAAAAGCACUCCAUGGCAGAAGGAAGUGUGACUGUAAUUGGAGGAAAACUGGAAAUUUGCAUUUAUGUGCAAACACGUUUCAAUGAAGACUUGACAUGGCAGAAGAAAGGCAGGAACAACACAAUGUACUUGUGAAAUUUACACAAAACAUUUCAGCUACAAAACUAACCUGUGCCUAUUUCUGUUUUUGCUGUUAAUUUUUAAAAUAUUUGGUUUUAAUCAAGUGUUUUGAGAGUUUGCUCUCAGUAUUAUGGAUAUAGUUAUUUUUAAAUGUAGUUUUGAACUUGUCUAUUUGGAGAAAAAUAAGGUAGGCUACUCUUUUUACCCUUCAGCUCUCUGUUACAAAACAAUGUAAGAAUAAUUGUAUUGUGUGCAUGAUUGUAACUUUAAAUAUGACAUCAGUUUUUAAACUGAGGUUGAUGUAUGUUUUCCCUGACAUUUUGAUGUCCUUGACAAUUGUUCCAAGUAAUGUUUGGAUCAUUAAGAUAAUACAUUAUAUUGACAUUUCUAACAGAUUUUGAAUAGCGCAAUUCUGUAUAGCUCAUUCUGUAACAAAAUAUUUUGUUUACAAUGUUUAGCUACUCUUAUGCAUUGUUCGCAUUGUGAACUGAAUGUGACAUUGUAUGAACCUGUUUGAAUACCUUAGCAAUUUGAUAUGACAGAUGAAAGCGCUUCACAAAGUUUGAUAAAAACAUGUUCCCUUGUGGGUUUAGAAAGCCAUAAACAGAGAACCAGAAACUAGUCACACCUCUAUCCUAUUGACUGAAGUACUUAUAUAUAUAUACACACACACACACAGUUGAAGUCGGAGGUUUACAUA